ensembl:lncRNA
CAUCGGAGCCAAUCUGAUGUCCUGUCCACUUCCCAAACUGUUGCUUUGCAGCAAGAGAGCCAGGAACACUUAGCGUAUGAAUGUUUGUGCUCUAAAUGAGGCUGCUCUGCAUUCCUGUGUGCUAAGCCUCAGCAACACUUGUGCCAGUAACUAAGUGCCCACCAAGGGCAGAAUGGGUUCAGGCCUGAGCGUUUGAAGACCGAAAUGAGCAACAGAAGAAGACAGAUUUCACCCUACGCUAAGUCCUCAUGUGGAGAUGACUCAAAUUUCAGUCUGUAGGAAGUACACAACUGCAAUGAUGGUUAAAAAGUACCAUAUAAUGCUUCACAGGUUUGCAGUAAAGGCACCAGAAAGGAGUACAAAAUAAUAACCGAAUGACAAUCUUGCGCUUGCUGUUUAGACAAAGUCCUUCUUCUAAACAUCUCUUAAGAAUCAAAGCUCUAUGUGUGUGCUUCAGUGUUUAAGUUCUGUAUGCAUGCAUGUGUGUGCAUGUAUUAUAUCUAUGGAUUGAUUUAUUUUGCUUUCUAAUUUGUGGUUCUAUAGCCUUUCAAACAUGUUCACUGGAGCUUGUUAGUGAAGGCUGUCACUCUGUGUUUGUGUGUGUGUGUAUAGAAUAAAUAAGUAGCCAAAAGAACACCCAUAUAGAGAAUGUGAUGUGUUUUUGUCGGUAGGUUUUGCCUUUGGUGUUCAGCAGCUUCAUCCAGCUCUCAUACAGAGGCCUUUUGGGAUACCUGCUCACUAUGUCUAUCCGCAGGCUUUUGUGCAGCUCUGAGUGGUAAUUCCCCACAUUCAGCCCGCAGCAGCCGCUGCUUCCANNNNNNNNNNNNNNNNNNNNNNNNNNNNNNNNNNNNNNNNNNNNNNNNNNNNNNNNNNNNNNNNNNNNNNNNNNNNNNNNNNNGCGGCUGCGGCCUUUGGCCAGUACCAGCCCCAACAGCUGCAGACGGACCGUAUGCAAUAGCAGAUGAACUCCCGAAGGAAGCUCUUUCUUUCUCUUCCUCUUUUCAGCCUUCCAAUAUAAGUAGCUAAUAAGAGACAAUUAAUAUUAACUAAGGAGCUUUAAGGAAAGCAAUGCUAUUGCAAAACUAAAGAUUUUUAUUCCACUGUCUUCAUACAGUAUGCAUCCAAACCAUAUUGUUAGAGGGGAGGGGUAGUGUGGGAUGUGUAGUUUCAAGUAACAAUCUGGAAGAAAAUGGGAAAAAAUACUGUACUGUCAUGAAAGAGUGGCAGGAGUAGCAAUGAGACUUCAUAGUUUAAAAAAACAGCAAAAAAAAACAAAAAAGCAAAGGUGUAUUUUUUACAGUAUCAGGGAAACAAAACUGCCUUUAUGAGUAAGGAAAUGGUAUUUGAAAAGCUUGAACCAGGGGAAAAAACUGAGUCAGCAAUACGUAAUCUUUCUCCAUUUUACGACUAAAUGAGCUUAAAGUACUGAUUGUCCUUUCUAGCUUUCAGCAUGGCCUACAGAAGUGGUCUUAAGUGAGGCAAUACCUUCUCGCCGGUGCAUUAACGGGCAUCGAGCAAGCUGAGGAUGGCCUGCUAGUAAGAUGGCAGACAGGCACCAAAGUUAUUUUCUCCUCUGUCCUCUGGCCGAGUGGAGCUGUGGAGCAAGUGAUGUGGAAGGAACGGGUGCAGCAGCUGUAGCGACAAUCAAUAACACAGACCGUUCUGGAAAGAACACAUCACUCGCGCUCAUGUGAUGAGCUUGUCACAUCCUAAUCCCUCGCCCCAUCCUGUUUCACUUUUGGGAAACUUUAACUGCUGGUGUCAGCUCUUCUGAUUCUAAAAUAGGAUCAGCCCUUUACUACAACAGCCUUCUCUUUCUAUUUAUUGCUAUUCAUAACUUGUGAAUAAAGGCAGGAAGAAGCUUGAUGAAUUUAAACCU